UCGACCUUUUUUCUCAGCGCAGACAGCAGUUGGAUCCCGUCAGAGCUGCUGUUUCCUUCGUGGGGAGGGCCGUGAACGCCACAGCUGGACCUUCAUCCAUCACAGCUUCGGAGAAAAGAUAUCCCAUGAGAGCUCACCUGGUUAACGUCAUCAUUCUAUGCUCCUCGUCUUCGCCUUGGAUCCAGCUCAAGUCAAGCUCUCCUGAUCUGCCACUGCCGAACCCUGCAGCCUCGCCUCGCCUCCUAGUCAAGAUUCCUGAACCUCGUCAUACUAUUAACCAUUUGAACUCUGCUUUCAAGUUUUCCAUUGAACUCUCUGGUUGUAAAUUAAAUCAUCCUACUUA